UAAGUAUAGCUUAAUUAAAGCACUUCGCUUACACCGAAUAGACGUCCACUAACCCGGACUACUUUAA
rnacentral:tRNA from 1 species